GACGAACGCUGGCGGCGUGCUUAACACAUGCAAGUCGAACGAAGUGGCGAACGGGUGAGUAACGCGUAAUCAACCUGCCCUUCAGAGGGGGAUAACAGUUGGAAACGACUGCUAAUACCGCAUACUGAAGGAGGGGAUUGCGUCGGGUUAGCUAGUUGGAGGGGUAACGGCCCACCAAGGCGAUGAUCAGUAGCCGGUCUGGGAGGAUGACCAGCCACACUGGGACUGAGACACGGCCCAGACUCCUACGGGAGGCAGCAGUGGGGAAUAUUGCGCAAUGGGGGCAACCCUGACGCAGCCAUGCCGCGUGAGUGAUGACGGCCGUCGGGUUGUAAAGCUCUGUUAAUCGGGACGCGGUACCGGAAUAGAAAGCCACGGCUAACUACGUGCCAGCAGCCGCGGUAAUAC
rnacentral:rRNA from 1 species